rnacentral:rRNA from 1 species
CGUACACUCCUACGGGAGGCAGCAGUGGGGAAUAUUGGACAAUGGGCGCAAGCCUGAUCCAGCCAUGCCGCGUGAGUGAUGAAGGCCCUAGGGUUGUAAAGCUCUUUCACCGGUGAAGAUAAUGACGGUAACCGGAGAAGAAGCCCCGGCUAACUUCGUGCCAGCAGCCGCGGUAAUACGAAGGGGGCUAGCGUUGUUCGGAUUUACUGGGCGUAAAGCGCACGUAGGCGGACUAUUAAGUCAGGGGUGAAAUCCCGGGGCUCAACCCCGGAACUGCCUUUGAUACUGGUAGUCUUGAGUUCGAGAGAGGUGAGUGGAAUUCCGAGUGUAGAGGUGAAAUUCGUAGAUAUUCGGAGGAACACCAGUGGCGAAGGCGGCUCACUGGCUCGAUACUGACGCUGAGGUGCGAAAGCGUGGGGAGCAAACAGGAUUAGAUACCCUUGUAGUCCCAUG